rnacentral:lncRNA from 1 species
AUAUCGUGUCUUAAGUCAUAGAGUUUGUCUUAGGAUGUGAAAAAUGUAUUUUUAUUUUUAUUGGAUCGAUCAUGCAGAAGAUUGUUGUUUGGUGAUUGCAAUAAUCUUCUUAUUUUAGUUUUUGGAUGAGUAUUGUAAUAUUUUUAUAUUUUGUCACGAAAUCGCCAAAGGGGGAGAUUGUUAAGGAUUUUAUUAAGUUGGCGACUUUCGUGAAGUUUUGGACGGAGUCUCGAAGAGUUGGAAGACGAAGGUUGAAGAAAGAAUUGGAGUUUGGCGAUGU